CCCUUAGAUGUUCUGGGCCGCACGCGCGCUACACUGACGAAUGCAACGAGCUUAUAACCUUGGCCGAAAGGUCUGGGUAAUCUCCAAAUUUCGUCGUGAUGGGGAUAGAUUAUUGCAAUUAUUAAUCUUCGACGAGGAAUGCCUAGUAAGCGCAAGUCAUCAGCUUGCGUUGAUUACGUCCCUGCCCUUUGUACACACCGCCCGUCGCUCCUACCGAUUGAAUGGUCCGGUGAAGCGCUCGGACCGCGGCCUCUUGACGGUUCGCUGUCGAUUGGCUGUGGGAAGUUCGUUAAACCUUAUCAUUUAGAGGAAGGAGAAGUCGUAACA
rnacentral:rRNA from 1 species